rnacentral:tRNA from 1 species
GGAGACGUGUCCGAGCCGGUUGAAGGAGCACGAUUGGAAAUCGUGUAUACGGUCAAAAACUGUAUCCAGGGUUCGAAUCCCUGCGUCUCCGCCA